CUGAUGGCCUCCAGGUAGCUCUCCGAUUUGCCCGGCUGAUCUGGGGUUUCAAAGAAAGGGAGAACAAAGUUGCACAGAAAACACAACGGCUGCAAGGACGGUAUCAAAAAGCAAGCCUCAUCAGCUGGAUGCUGAUUUGAACUGAGGGAAGGAUUAUGUCACAGAGAGAGGACCGGAUGGGUUUGGGAUUUCCCGAGGUGGACACAGAGAUGACGGCUGUGCUGUCUGUGAAAGGUGGCUGACCUUUCCACUGGCUACUGAGGCCCACAACGUAACCAGUCUGGUCAUACUGGAAACCCCUGGACAUUUAUAACCUGCCUUCACUGGCUUUAAACUCGACUGCUUUAGACCAACAGCACA